CUGGGUGGUGCAAAAGGUAAAGGCACUGGGCUGCUAACCCAGUUUGGGAAGUUCAAAUCCACCCAGA
rnacentral:tRNA from 1 species